rnacentral:tRNA from 1 species
CGGGACGUAGUUCAGUUGGUAGAACGCUCGGUUUGGGACCGAGAGGUCGCCAGUUCAAAUCUGGCCGUCCCGA